GGGCUCAAUGUCACUUGACGUGAGUGACUCCAUUUUCAGACAUUAGGAUCACAAAUCAUUAUCAUAUAUCAUGGCAACUAGAUCUUGGAUGAUGGCUUAAAGAGCUGGAACUUGGCUAAGCAUGGUGGCUUAUGCCUGUAAUCUCAACUCUUUGGGAGACCAAAGCAGGAGGAUCUCUUGGGUUCAGGACUUCGAGGCCAGCCUGGGCAACAAAGCAAGACCCUGUCUCUACAAAAAAAAAAAAUCAGCCAGGCAUGGUGGUACAUACCUGUAGACCUAGUUAGCAGGGAGGCUGAGGCAUGAGGAUUGCUUGAGCCCAGGAGUUUGAAGCUACAGUGAGCUAUUGAUUGCAUCACCACACUCCAGCCUGAGCAACAGAGCUAGACACUGUCUCAAAAAAACAACAACAACAACAAAAAACAAAAAACAAAAAAAAAAAGCUGGAACUUGAGGCUGAAUUUGAAGCAUCAAAAAGAAACAGCAAGAUUGUUGGGAGAUUGGUAGUGCAUUCCAGGUGACACAUUAUGGGGGCCCAAACUGGAAUUGUGGAAGUGAGUAUAUAGAUGAAGAAACAGAUUCGGAGAAUAUUGAGAAGGUUAAAUCAGGAGUACACGAUUACAGGAGAAAGAAGAGUGUGCAUUUGAAAGACUGGGGUAGGUGUAUCACAGUGUGGAACGUGGAGAAAAAGGAACCAAUCAGUAGACAAAGUUGUAGAUUUUCUUAUGGAUAUUUGACCCACUUAAAAUAUGAAGUCUUCCCAUCUAGGUUAUUGUAUUGGCUGGAACCUGAGAACACUGCCCCGAGACUGAUAUCUCUUCAUGCAGACCCUGGCUGGAACUGCUGCUGCUGAGAAAACUCAUUUUUUAUUUACUUCCCCAGAGAGAAAGUAACAAAGUUCUGAAAUUUUUAAAUCUGAGGUCUAAAGUAAAGACUGUUUUAUGCUGAUUUUUAAUCCUUGGGUGUAGUCUGACUGCCCGGAAAAAUGAAAGUCAAAAGGAGACAUAAUUUGGAAACACCUGUUGAUGUUUAAAGUCUCUAAAGCCAUUGAAAUUGGAGUGACAGUUCCAGCAUCUUCAUUGAAAAUAUGUCAAAAUAGAACUCUUGCAUACACAUUAACGCACUAUAUAACUUCAGGUUUAAAAAAUACCUUUUAUUAAGUGGCGUUGUAGACAGGGUUUGAAUCUCCAAGUACAACAGGGCAAACUUGUUUGGGAGAGAAUAUAGACCCGGUGUGGGAACAGAGUAGGAAUGGGGAUAAAGGGUGCAAGGAAAGCUUUUCCUGGAGAGAUGGGAAGAUAAAGAAUGUAUCUUUGCAGUUCAAAGGGAUGGGGGUAAGAAUUUUGUGACCUCUCUGGAAAAGUGCAAUUGUGGGAACUUCUCAGUCCAACCAGAGCCCAGGUUCUUGAAAACAGUAGAAAUGCAGGGCUGGGAACUAUGGCUUGCUCCUGUGAUCCCAGCACUUUGGGAGGCUGAGGCAGGAGGAUCCCUUGGGCCCAGGAAUUUGAGACCAGCCUGGAAAACAUAGGGAGACCCCAUCCCUACAAAAAAAAAAAAAAAAUACAAAAAUUAGCCAGCUGUGGUGGUGCACGUUUGUGGUCCCAGCUACUGGGGAGGCUGAAGUGGGAAGAUCGCCUGGGCCCAGGAAGUGAAGGCAGCAAUGGGCCGUGAGCUCACCACUGCACUCCAGCCUGGGAAACAAAGUAAGACUCCUGUGUGGAAAAAAUAAAAAUAAAAAAGCAGAAAUGCAAAUCUUGGGUGCUGGUGUGGUAGGAUGUUGUGGAUCUGGGAUUCUCAAACUUUAGUGACUAUAACAAUCAUCUGGGGAGCUGGCUUAAGAACGUAGCAAGCCAGAUCCCACUCUCAGAACUUCCCUUUCAGUUGUUCUGGGGUUGGUGCAGGAACCUGCAAUUGAAAAAGUAUUCUGAGUAUCGUAAUUCAAGUAGUUCUUGCGUUUUGAGAAAUACAUUGUAUUCUUCAUGAGCAAAGGGAUUCUACAAUUCAGUAUCCCUAUCCCUUUCCCCUGCUGAA
ensembl:lncRNA